UUUUGGUUUUCCCUCUGAUAUUUUUCCUCUGUCUCAGACCCAUACCCCAAAUGACUCCGUACCCCUCUCUCUCCUCUCAGACCCCGUACCCCGAACCCCAAACCCCAAACCCCGAACCUCUAACCUCUGCAAGUCUCCCUCUCUCUUCUCUCAGACCUCAAACCCCAAACCGCAAAUGACUGAACCCCAAACCUCUGUAAGUCUCCCUCUCUCUUCUCUUAGACCGAUCAUCCUCUCGAGCAACAGAGACCUCCGAUCAUCCUCUCGACAGCUCCAUCCUCUCGGGCAGCUCCAUCGUAGGCGGUGUCCCCACCUCUCCGAUCAUCGUAGGCGGCAGCUGACCAGAGUGAGUUGGAAAGAACAUAAGCAAGAAUAAGUGUUGCUGCUUCCUUAAAUCUCCCAGCCUUCUCAAGAAAAUCUAUCACAACUAGUAUAUCUCCUCUGAGGUAUUGUGUUGAUGCUGUGCAUUACAAAAAUGAAGAUGUGAUCAAACUUUUAGAGGAACAUGGUGCAAAGCCUUCGAUGGCUCAUCACAUGCACGUUAAAAAUGCACGCGAAGUCCCCGAGUAUGAGAUCGAUCCCAAGGAGCUUGUUUUAUCUCUGAAAAUGAUAACCAAGUUUUGGAUUGCGAUUUUUUUCUUCUGUUUUUGCUGGAAAUAGUGUUCGACUGGAAUUAAUGCCUCUCCCUGUAAGUUUUUUUUUUCUUUUUGUGGGUGGCUUUGAUUCUAGAAGCCUACCCCAAGUGUACGCUUGGUUUAUUUUUUUUUUUAAUAAUUUAUAUCGACCAUUUUUUGUUGCUCUGGGUUGUUGUGUUUAGUUCUUUAUUGUCUCAGAUUUGGGGAGUUGUUUCCAUCUCUCUCUCUCUCUCUCGUGCUCUCUUUUUCUCUCCCAGCCUCUCCAUCUCUUCAUCUUCUUCGUCUCACUUGCAUGAGCGACAAGGCUCACAAAUGGGCAGAGGUCGAAUAGGCGGCCACAAACAGAUAGAGAUCGAAGGUGGGCUCACGAACAAGGAGAUGGCGGUGGACGAACAGCAGACGAAUCCAACACAUGGGUAGGUUUCAUGGUGGCUGAGCUUAGGAGGCUUGACGGUGGCUUGGGUGGUGGCUCGUUAGUUCAGCUUAGAAGCAAAACCUCAAGAAUGGAUAUCUUGGAGUGGAGCGCUAAGUGGCAGAUUGUGCCUUUCAGUGGCGAAGGGAGGCUUUGUUUGUAGAUUGGAGCUAUUGGUGACAGACUGCAGUGGUUGGUGAUGAAUAUAGAUUGGUGAUGAAUAUAGACUUUGCAAACUCUUGUUAAGUGUUUCAGGAACUAAAGAGAAAGAGUUGCUGCACUCAAGUCACUUCAACGUAAACUUGAGAAAUACAAGACAGAGUUGACAAAUCAUAUUAGAAUACUCGAGUGUACUUAUAACUUGUUCAUGUUGCACAAAACUAAUUACUUAUAAAUUGAGAUUAUAUUUGUACCAAGUUGAUGAAAUAUAUUUUGAUUAAGUUUGUAAUUUUUGUCUUUGUAAUAUGUAGAUUUGGUUUAUUUUUUGAUUGUUGACUGUUGUUGUUGGUGUAAUAAAUUUAUAAAAUUCUUGAAUAAAAA